CGGCCAGACUCCUACGGGAGGCAGCAGUGGGGAAUAUUGCACAAUGGGGGAAACCCUGAUGCGGCGACGCCGCGUGAGUGAAGAAGUAUUUCGGUAUGUAAAGCUCUAUCAGCAGGGAAGAAAAUGACGGUACCUGACUAAGAAGCCCCGGCUAACUACGUGCCAGCAGCCGCGGUAAUACGUAGGGGGCAAGCGUUAUCCGGAUUUACUGGGUGUAAAGGGAGCGUAGACGGCAUGGCAAGCCAGAUGUGAAAGCCCGGGGCUCAACCCCGGGACUGCAUUUGAAACUGGCAAACUGGAGUGUGUGAGAGGAUAGUGGAAUUCCAGGUGUAGGAGUGAAAUCCGUAGAUAUCUGGAGGAACAUCAGUGGCGAAGGCGACUAUCUGGCACAUAACUGACGCUGAGGAGCGAAAGCGUGGGUAGCAAACAGGAUUAGAUACCCCUGUAAAU
rnacentral:rRNA from 1 species